rnacentral:lncRNA from 1 species
UUCUACCAUCCAAAACAAUUAUCAUUAAAAUUCUAAUAUCAAAACAAUCAUUAAAAUAUCAAAUCAAUAUUCCAAAUAAACUAAUUAAAAUUCUAAUUAUUAACAAAAUCGAAUAAAUCCUAACAAUUAACCUAAUCACAUUAAAAUUCUAAUUAUUAAUAGAAUCACAUUAAAAUUCUAAUUAAUGAAUCAAAUUAAAAUCUAAUUAUUAACAAAUCAAAUAAUCCUAAUUGCUAACAAAUCAAAUUAAUCCAAAUUGCUAACAAAUCAGCAUGGACCUUGGAUAGUAUGGGGAGUGAGCAGUGCAAAUAAUUAGGCCUAACAGAAGGAUUGAGCCCUAAAUGGAGAAACUGGACCGUUUGAGCAAAAAAGCCCAAAUCUUAAGUCAAACCUGAGCUCAAUCAAUCGAACCUCAACCAAGUCGUCACGUCGAACAAGAAAAAAGAACUCCUACGUCAAAACUCACCGGUGGUGCCGAAAAACUCCUUGCCGGCGGCGUAUGCGAGCAACCAGGAAUCCGGUCUCGUUCAGGUGUUAUGCUUUGAUCUACUCUUUCACUCCAUAUCGUGAUUGUCCGAGUUGCGCCGUUUUCGACGGAGACUCCGAUUUCGCAGCGAUGCGUUCUGAGAUGACGACGACAAGUUCAGGUCCGCGUGCGUUUAUCCAGGAGUGCUUCGCCUCGUCUUCCUCUUCUGUUUCAAUCUUCUGUUUCUGUUUCUAGGUGUCUCGCCGUAGUGGAUCGCCUUGCCGUUUUCGAGGAAGACUUUGCGUUGUUGUUGUUCGGUUUUGCGAUGUGGUGAUGCAGAUGAUUUGUAGAAUUGAAAACAAGGUGAUGUAUGGUGCGUGAGAAGCUUCGUGAUGGAUGUGAGAGUUUGUAGCGAUUCAACUCAGAAGGAGGAGGAGCGAUUUGUUCUGUAGAAUCGAUUUUGGUUGAAAAAAAGGAAGAGAGGUUUCACUGUUAACUUAUCCGUUUAUAUAGAAACCAUGUUUGUAAUUUGAAUUGAGUUGGAGCUGUGAUGGAUUUACAAUGCCGUUUACGCGUUGGGCAUUGCGUUUUGGUUGUUACCAUUGUGCAGCUUUCCAAUUUUCUGCGUUUUGUUUACGGUAUUGCUGCGUUUCACUUAUGCUGCUACCUGCGUUUUGAUUUUCACGUUGCUGUUUCAAUCUGUUUGCAACUGCGUUUCAGCUUGUUGCAAUUUUCGUUUUGAGCAGUUGUGCUACCGUUUCUGUUUACGCUUGUUGCAAUUUGCCGUUUGGAUGCAGGGUGCAGCUGGUGUUGUCGUUUUGGUAUUUGAGUUCACAUCAUUGCCGUUUGGCUUGCUACUACCUGCGUUAUGCCACAACUUUUGCAUUUUUGACUGGUUUUGGAAGCUUUGCAGCCUGCCGUCGUUUCCACUUUUUGUCCUAUCUGUAAUAGAUAGGUGUAUUAUAUUACAUGGAUUAAUUAGUUUUUUAAUGGAUGAAUGUUAAUGUUAAAAAAGCUAAUGGAUAAUGGAUUUAGAGAUUGGAUUAUUGGAUUGGAAAAAAUGGAUUUGGGCUAUGGUUAAUUGAAUAAAAAUUGGAUAUAGAAAUUGGACUUAGAAAUGGGAUUUAGAAUGUGUUAUGGGUUAAUUGGUUUUGGAAUUAAAAGUGGAUAGAAUGGAGAAUGGCUAAAUGGAUUUGGUAAAUGGUUAAUGAAUAAAAAUUGGUAAAUGGGCUUAAGUAAACUUAACCACCAUGGCCCAUCCAAAAGAAAAAUUCAAAUUGGUUGAAAUUUUAACAAUAAAUCGAAACCGAAAACUUGACUUUU